UAUGUACAUACAUACAUAUAUUUCUUUAUGAACCAAGAGAGCGCUCAUCAGUGCAAAAAGAAAAAUAUCUUAUGCAUAAAGCCACUUACAUACAUAUGUAUGUAUAUACAUACAUACAUACACCAACAACACACCCAGAACAAACACAAAGAAAUAGGCUCAAAAACAUACACAUACACCCAUACAUACAAAUACAUAUAUGUAUGUACAUAUGUAUAUAAAAGCGAACCCGAAGCAAAGGCACAAAGCAAAAUCGCCAAAAGCGAACAUAUGUAUGUGCACACUUAUGAAAACCCAAUUUUCUUUUUACGCUUCGAUUUCUGUAUACGAAUCGAUGAUACCCAAAAACGAAGGGCCAAAACGAGACGCAAUGACAAAUGGUUGGUGGAUAAGCGAUGGCGGAAUUAGCGGUGUGUGAAAAGGGAGAGGAGAGCCGGGUACAAAGGAAGUAUAGAAAGCGAAAAAUACGAUAUAUAUUACGUUAGAGAUGACCAGGAUCCCAGGAGGCUUAAUUUUUCGAAAAAGAAUUUCCGAGUUCACGCCCAACUCUGAUUGCCCGCUCAAUUAAAGAGCGGAAUGAACGAGAGCCCUGUUAAAAAUAUGUUUGAUUCGAUUGUCUCUGACUGGCAAACUUCAAUUGUUCUAGUAUACUCGUACACUGCUCUUGGUCACUUGAAUAUAUGCACUUAAACUAAUUAUUUUUUUGAAGAAAAAGUAACUUAUAUUAAAAUUUAAUUUGUAGAUAUUGUAAAUCUUAGAUUUAUUAGAAAAAGAAAAAAAAUGA